rnacentral:rRNA from 1 species
UACGUAGGGUGCGAGCGUUAAUCGGAAUUACUGGGCGUAAAGCGUGCGCAGGCGGCGCGUUAAGACAGGUGUGAAAGCCCCGAGCUUAACUUGGGAAUUGCGCUUGUGACUGGCGUGCUGGAGUGUGGCAGAGGGAGGUGGAAUUCCACGUGUAGCAGUGAAAUGCGUAGAGAUGUGGAGGAACACCGAUGGCGAAGGCAGCCUCCUGGGCCAGCACUGACGCUGAGGCGCGAAAGCGUGGGUAGCAAACGGG